CUGCUGGGCUGCGCGUUGGCAUUGAAAGUGCGACAGGCGAGCUGCCAACAACGCUCCAUUCCCAGCCACUCAAGUCCCAGCCACCAUUUUCACCCCAAUCGAAGCCCCAAGAAUCAAAGCCCCGCUAACAAAAUAAUAAUGUCAGAAAGAAAAAAACUCAAUUAUUUGAUCAAAAUUAGGCACGCAAAUGACAUCAACCUGGAAGUGGAAUUUGUGAAAAUCAACAAACAACAAACAAAACCAAUAACAAUGGCAAAUAAUUGCAAAUUAAUUGUGUUCAACCAUUGCGAAAAAUAAUUCUACAAAAGUGCUUGUCAAAUAAAACAAAAACAUAAAAAAAAAGUUAAAAUAGUUGAUUAAAAAUGGAAAUUAUAGCUCCCAAAAGCAAUUCAAAUGUAAAUCAAGUGCAUUCUAUUGUGAAAAUACAGAACGAGAUUGCAAUGGAUUUUGAAAUUAAGCUUUAAAGGUUUUUCAAAAUGUGACAAGAAUAAAAAUAUUUAAAAAACAUAAAACAGUAAACCAAAAAAAGAGUGAACAAAUAAUUGAAGUCCUGAAUAUCAAGGAUCAUCAUGGAUAAUAGGCCGAUCCUAAACAAAAGGUAAUGAAAUUAUUUCGAAAGAGGUUUUCGAAAAUGUUUGUCGAAUUUGUUAGGAAAAUAUUUCUUAAAAAAUCAGACGAAAAAUGACUUUAUAGUUCGAAAAGCUCUAGAAAGCUCCUUUUGAGGGGAGGCAGGAUCAAGGGAUAGGGAUCCCCCGGCCUUUGAAAUUGUUUUUUCCGCGGUUUGUUUUGUCACAGCUAGAAUAAACGUCGCAAAAUAAACAGGAAUCCGCAAAAAGCAAAAGUGAGUUCCCAUCCCAUCCCAUGCCAUCCCAUCCCAAAUAGCCAAACACACACAAACAUCCAUAGAUAAAAAGUGCGCAGCUAGAGAUACAGAUACAAAUGUAUUGCAGGGAUGUGAAGGGGCGGCACUGGCGGGGAAUAAUGAAUGAAAGAAUGGUAGAGGAAGCAACAAAAUGAGCGAGAGAGAGAGAGAGCCCCGAAGAAAAGGAGACGGCCGAUAAUUUUGAAGGCCAUUGGGGAGAGCGUCACAUGUGGCUGUUGCGAGAGGUGUGUGGGUGUGGGGCAGUAGGGCAACCAAUACAACAACAAAACUCAAAGAGAGCAACUGGAAGAAUAGCCAAAAAGCAGACACAAGAAACAGGAACAGGAAGAAUCGAAAAACUUGAUGAAGCAUUUGUACAUCGGAGAGCCAUGGCGAGGGUGACAGAGAGAAAGAGAGUAAGAGAAAGAGCAGUAGGUAGCUCUUUCGAUAGAAGAUAGAAAUUCUGCCGGCUUCGACGCUGCCAGCGCAGCAGCUGCGCUGCGGCAGAGCCAGAACUUUCCAUGCUGACGAAAAAUCAACGGCAUUGAACAGCGGCACCUUCAACCGAUCACAUUCGUCUUUUUUCCGUUCAAAUAGAAAAUAAAAUAAUAAAUAAUAAUAAUAGCCAAAAUCGCGUUCGCUUGGAUUUAAGUUUGAGAGCAGAGCUUUAAGGCUUUAAGGACAUCCUGUGACGCCGUUUUUUGACAAAAAAAAAGCUAAAGAAAAAAGUGCAUAACAAAAAGUGUGAACUGAAACAAAAAGCGAAGAGAAAUGUGGCCGAAAGCCGAAAGCAGCAGAAUGGUGGCCCAACUGCGUCAGCAUGGAAAUUUAAUUAGCGACAGUUCAGUUCAGUUGAGCUGAGCCGGGCAGCGGCGUUAAGCUGGGAAAGUCAAAUGGUUUUGGCCAACACACACACCCACCUACAGUGGCGGGCAAAAUAAUAGUCACUACAGAUACUGGCUAAAAAAAAAUGAAAAAAAAACAAAGAAUAUUGGUUUCUAAUUUAAUUAGAUUAAAAAAAUUACUUAAAAUAACAGUAUAAAAUUCUUAAUCCCAGCUAGUACUGUUCUUGCAAACAUAACUGUACAUGCCCGAAGGAGAAGAAGAGCAGCAAGCGGGCCACUGUACCAUUUUGUUGAUUUUUUGCAUGACGACAGCAAAAAGCAAGAGGCGGAACAACAAACGAAGCAAAGUGCACCACAAUACCUCACACUGCAUCUGCGGGUGUGCGGGUGUGCGUGUGUGGGUGAGUGAGAGUAUGUGCGAGCAAACAAAUAUGGCGCAGACAUGCGCACUCUGCCACCAACUUGAACUUGAAAACUUUUACUGCCGCCGUCGCCGUCGCCGCCGCUGCCCUUUCCAACAGCGACGUCGACAGCGCAGCCAACCGGCAAACCAGAGAGAGACUGAGCAGAGAACUGAGUAAGAGUACUGGAGACGGAGAACAUGGCAGCAGGUAUGUGAAAACGAAACAAAAACAAAAUGAAAGCAGAGCGUGCUCCGAGCUUUUUUGGCGGCACAGCUUUUGCGUGGGCGACUUAAGUCGGCGUCGCUGCUUCGGUCGGCAGCUCCGUCGGCGCCAGCCAACUGUUUGCUUUUUUGUUGUUUCUUUUUUCCCAACUUCCAGAUACUGUUGCAUACUUAGUGGGAUGCGAGGAUAAGAGAAAGGGAAAAGAGGCAGUGAAAAGAGGGAGCGCACAGAUUAGGGGGCGUGGGUCGCCUACACCUGGCCGCUCCAGCUGGGCAGCAGGAUGCAGCAGCAGCUUCCCUGAAUCCAGUUUCGCAGUUUAUUCGGUGACGAGCGGGCGGCCGAUGAGGUCAGCCAUUACGCAUACGCCUAGUAAUCCCCGACCCGGGUCCGCGUCUGUGUGUGUGUGGGUGUUUUGUUUUCUGCCAAGUUCAUUUUAAAGGCGCGUUAAUAACAAAAUCAGGUGUGGAAAAUUGAUUAGCAUAGAAGAAAAAAAAACAACAACAACAAAGGGCCCGUGAAAAUAUGGGUGUAUUCCGUGUACUUUGAAAAAAUAUUAUAUAUGUGUGACGCACGCCAGCAUAUGGCAAUUAAAUUUGAAUAAUUAAGCAGCUGAGCCUGGCACCCACACACACACACACCCUCGACAAAAUGAAAACUCUCUCCCACUGUGUGAGUGGAAAAAACAAACACACAGCAUACAUAUAUGCAAGAACUUGAUGUUGUUGUUUCCUGCACCUUGACCUUUCCACGCCCAUGCAGCAAUGUGCGUAGGCAGCAGCAUUGGCUCUAUCACACAGAUACACACACACACACACACCGACGCAAGGACACAGACACAUAGGGGUCUGUGUACAUGGACAGCCGACAUAGACAGGAGUAUAUAGAACAGCAGACAAGUCGAUUGGCAGCUGUUGGAGCCGAAUUAAAAUGGACGAGAUGCAGUCCAAAUUACUUCGGAUAUCUUCCAGAAAGGUUCAGUUUUGGGAAGCGGAGAGUUUCCUGAAGUUUUUAAUUAUUAAAAAGUGCAGAAAAGUGAAUUAAAAUAGUAGUAUUUCUUAUAGGUAAUUAGAAAUGUUAAAAAAAAUAUUAGUUUUUAUUAUUUAAAUUAAUUUGUCAGAAAAGGAAUUUCAUCACAAUACGUUAAUAAAACAAAAGUGCAAUGAAAGUGAAAUGGCAGAGACUUCCUGCAGAAAAGACUCCCCAAGUGCAACAUUGAUGGGGAGUUGGGCGGCUGAAAGUGGUUCUUGUCCGCGCUGAGCUUUCGCGCGAAAAGCUCAUUUGUGUGCAUCGGCUGCUGGGAUACACCCUGUGCUCGCUUUGAAUGAAAUGCAAGCAAGUGAACACAGCUGGUGGUAUCCAGUGGCCGUUUUGCAUCCUUUCAACUUCAAGGAUAACAACAGCAACAACAACAACAGCAACAACAUCAAGGACCUGGCUUUGGGUGAGUCUGGCCAACAGCUUUUCAAGUUUGCUCUUCCGGAUCAAAUAUAUAUAUAUAUACUAUAUCUAAAUUAAUUCUAUUCAUUUGUUUUGCAAAUCCAAUUUAUCAAUGAUCUUGAUUUUGUUUACCUGUUUUUUGUACCAUUUCUGUUUUGAUCCUAAUUUUGCCAUACUAAAAAAUAAGUUUUCUUAGCCAUAAGCUUCAGUUUCUUUCAUUUCUCCCAAAAAAAAAAAAUGAAAAUAAAAAAAGAGAAAAAAAAUUAUAAGAAAAAAAGAUAAAUUGGAAUAUCAAUAAAAUAAUCUUAAGAAUUAAGAAUCGUUUUAGAGAAUAAUCAGUGAGAAAACAAAAAUUGCAUAUGAUUAUAUUCAGCAUUUUCUUGUUACACAUUCAGACUUAAUUAAUUUCGUUUUUCGUUUGCUCGCUCGUCUUUGGUUUGCUCCGAUUUCUUUUUUCAUUUUCGAAUCUAUCUUAGAAAAUUCGCUUCUCUCCUUAAACACCCCCGCAGACACAAACUCAUAGAUACAGAUACAGGUGCAAUGAUGGGCGCAUCGAAUGCAACGCUCUGAAAACGCUCUGAAAAAAAACAUUAAUUAUUCCGAAUGUCGGCAGCAGUAAUGAGUGAAAUUUUUGUGGAUAGAAAUCUCGCUGGCAGAAACAAUUAAAACGAUUUUCAUGCUGCAAAUUGAUUUUGUUUUGUGAUUUAUAUUUAUUUUGUAUCCUCCAACUCGUUUCUUAAUUUCACCGAAUCGCGUGCACUUCGGGGUGCUGCAAAACGAAAGCCAUUUGGCAUUUUCUAUUUUCGUUUCGCUCUGACUUUUUUGGCUCAAAUCUGUUGUUCGGCGGUUGGCGGAAGUCUAUCUAGCGAAUUGGCUAGAUAGUCAUCUAUCUAGUAUCUGGGUGCUCUGCUCUGCACCAACUUUUGUCACUUUUGCAUUUCAAAUGACCGUCAAUUAUCCUUUGCCGACACUCUGUCCCUUGUCUCUUUGCUUUUUUUUUUACCCCCAUGAGGUCAAGGAAAAUGAAAUUGAUUUUCUGCCCGAGUGGAUUUCUUCUACAUGUGCAUUUUCAAAGUUCUAGUAUUCUAUUAUAUAGUUUGCCUUAUGCAAUCAAUAUAUACUAUACACAUAUAUAUAAAAAAAAUCAAUUUUAUUUGGCUUAACUAUUAGUGCAAAUCAAUUUUCUCCUCCAGCUGGUCAAACAGUUUACUGAGCGGGUAAUUAUAGCCAUUAUAGCAGUCAUCGACUGGCGACCGACUCGGCGGCCUGGUGACCUCACAUGACAAGUUUUAUGAUGAAAUUAGCUUCGAUUAUAGUAAGAGCGGAUAUAAAACAACAUCAAAUGCGAUAAAAACUCGCACUUAAAUAUUAGACAAUGGCCAAGAGGCUAGAAUUACGCAAUCGAGGGGGAUUUAGAAGUGAUUUUUUUGUAGGUUUGGAAUUUAAUUAUAAACGAGUUGAUGAUAAAAAUAAGGAAUUGUUAGAUACUUCCAAUAACUUAUUUCAUUUGAAUUGCUAUUAUCCCUAAACUACAAAUUAAAUUCCGUAAAAUGCGGCAUUUAUCGCAUGACAAGAUUAACAAUUGCGAUAACAGCUGUUGGCCUUAAGCGAUGGGAAGAGGGAUAGGAAUUUUCAAUUUAAGGUUGACCUUAGACAAAAUUUGAUCGAUAAUUUCGCAUAAUUGUGGAAUCUCUCAGCUCAGCUCAGUUCAGCUCAGCUCGGUCAGGCCAAAAACACAAACAAAAACUGUGACACAUGGCAGGGCGCACACUCACACUCAUACUUACACUCACACACUGAUAUAUCGACAUCACCUUGAACAUUAACGCCCAAUGCAAACUGCAACUGACAUGGGAAAUUCGUGGGAGCUGCCAUUUGGGUGGGGUGGGGUGGUGGGACAGAAGCGAGAGCAAUAGAUAAAGAGAGCGACAGCUUGCUAUAGUUUUUUUGUGUUUCUGCGCCACAUUUGCGUCACUCCGUAGCAGAGAAGCGAAGAAGAAAAAAAAAAUGGCUAGUGCUGCAACUGCAAAAGCUCGUCGCUUCCGUUAGCCUACACUUUAUUUCGAGGUAGUGUGAGUGAGAGAACGAAAGCUUCCGCUCUCUCGCCGCUCUCUUGUGCCUCUCAGCUGGCCUCUCAGGGGUUUUGAGUUUUAGCUUUUGAACACUUUUGAGCAGCUGACACUUGCGCUUCAGCAUUAGACCAAAGUAGUUUGACUUUUCAGUCUUAACACGCGAAACGAAAUGAAAAGUUUGAAAAGUGUGAGCUCUCUGUGUGUAUUAGUACAGUGUGUGUGUGUGUGUGUGUUGUGGCAGCUGCAGUUGCAGCGUUACAGAAAUAAAUUUCGUACAAAAUUCCGCCCUGCAUUUAGUAUAUUUCACCUUAGAUCGUCUUUGCCACCUAAACACACACUUUGCACACACUAACACACACAUACACACACACGAGUGCUCACUGACAAGUACACUGCGCUGCAAGUUUCUUUCAUUCACGUCCGCGUGGCCAUCAAAAUAAAAACAACAACAACAACUACUACUACAAUGUAACAACUACGAUUGUCGGUGUCGGUUCGCGUCGCCUCCCAUCGCAUCGCAUCGCGUCGUUUCGUUUCGCGUUUUGGCCAAAAAGAAAUUGGCCUAAAAAUGUAACAGUUUUCUUUUACAAUAACCGAAGCCAAGAAGAAAACGCCAAAAACAAACUGCAGUCUGCUGCGUCGCUACUGCAGUCGUCGACGACGUCGAUGUGGCUGCCGCUGCCACCGCUGCUGUUGCCACUGCUGCUGCUGCUGCUGCUGCUGCAGAGCCUUCUGCUGCUUUGGUUGCUGUUGGCCAAUUGCCGUUGGCCAGCGUCAGUGUUCAUUUUCCCAUCGAGUCAACAGCACACACGGUCAGGAGCGGCCAGGAAGGAGUUCAGUUCAAAGCAAGGAGCUCCCACAAGCAGAAGCAGAAGCAGCAGCAGCAGCUGAAGGCAUCGAUCGUUGGAUUUUCAUUGCGAUUGUUAUUGGAUUUGGUUGUGGAGUUUCAAAAAAACAGCUGAUUAGUCCCGUUAACUAUUGUCCCUCUAUUUUUUUAAAGCUCAGCUUAAACAGCUGAUUGCAUAAAGCCAAAAACAAGUUGAAACUUUUCGGUGGCGUAUACGUAAUAUCGUCAGUUAAGUUCAGUUCCGUUCCGUUCGGUUCGGUGCCAUAGCCUGCACAUCUGCCAUUGCAAUUGCAGUAUAAUUUGUUGCAGUUGCAGUUGCUGUCGUUAUGCAAUUGCCAGUGCAGCUCUACAACAAGAAUAACAAAAACAAUGUGGUUGCCAGCUAGGCACCCUGUAAUUGCAACAGCAAAAAAAAACACAAAAAAUAAAACAAUGCCAGUGCAAUGUGAACAAUUUUUUUUUUUUCGCGAGGAGAGAAACACACGAGCACAUUGUUAAAUAGUUUAUCCCACACACACACACACACACACACACUCACACAGUAUUGUGUGUCUAGUCUGGCAAUUUGUUUUAAACAAUCAGCGGCCACUGUGCUUGCUAUCUUGCCUCUCGCUCGCCCCGAGUUUUAAAUUUAGUUUCGCUGCAGUUUCGGUGCUUGUAACCCAAAUUUUCUUUCAUCUUUCGGUUCUGUUUCAUAUUCAUCUUAUAUAAGAUAUCUUGCCAAAAAAAAAACCUCUGGAGUUCCCAAUUAAAAGCGGUUUUAGUUAAAAGGCACAAAAAAGCAAACGAUUUAACGACUGGGAAAAAAUAAAAAACUAAAAUUCAAGCAAUGGCAAUUAAAUCGGCGGAACACGGCGCACUUGCAAUUUGAGAGACAGAGCAGCACUCACUCACACAAUAGAGUCUUGACCAAAACGUAACCACUUGACCUUGCACAGUUUUUCGCAAUAAUACGUAUACGUACCGUAUGCCCGUGUGACUAUAUGACUAUAUGACUGUGUGUGUGUGUGGGGGUAACAGCAAAAUUGCAAUAUUUUGUGUAAAAAUAACGAACAGACUUUUUAUAUAAGGCCAAGAUAGAUAUAUGUAUGUAUAGCUAGCCAGGUGUGUGAGGUUGUGUGGGUGUGUGGGAUGAAGUGACUGCUGCAGACUGCAAUACUGCAGUGCAUGUUGUUAUGAGGUCGAUAUUUGUUGUUUUACUUUUCGUUCAAUUUUCAUAGAGACACUCUAUAGAGGCUCGCACACAUCUGGCCAAUGGGCGGUGUGGGUGGAUGACUGAAAAAUGCAUUUGACACAGAAAACAGUCGAGAACAAACACAAACAGAGACUCUCUAGUCUAUAGUCUCUCUGGCUAUAGAAAGGCUAUAGAUUUCGAAGCUGACAGAUAUGAAAAUAUUUCAGUGGCGAUAUUAAAUGAUUCAUGGCUGAAAUCCCCAUUGAUUGAUUCGAUGCAAAGUCGAAAUAAAUUAGCAACCAAAAGUUGCCACUUUAAAGGCUUACUGAAAAGGGCUCUGAAAAGUAUUAUAGAAUUUCUCUCUGGAUUCUGCAACCUGUUUGUUUCUAUAUACAUUUUUUAUAAACAUCCAGUCGCCCUGGCAUUCGGCGAUUUUUUGUUGAAUUUGCAUUUGGAUUUUGGACCUUAACUGAUACCAGCAGCCGGCGGCAGACAAAAAUUAAGCACACACGUAAACACAUUUUUUAAACAGAUAUCAGCGAGAGUGACAUCAUCGUUUUUGUGAUGGAUCAUUGCCCAGACCAGUCACUUCUAUAUACAAAAUUAUAUAUAUACGCAGUGCUGAGUUAGUCAGCUUCAGUUUGGACUUCACAGUUGACUAGAAACUGUUUCAUUCGUUGAUAAGCCAGGCAAAGAAUUCAGAUAUUCUUUUUUGAAAGCCCCCCCAGCAUGAAUCACAAGGCAUGGGCUGGCAACAAAUUUUCGUCAAAUUUUCGAAAUAUUUUCAUUUAAAUCGCUCAGUAUAUACGUAGAUACGGCGGAUUCUUUGAAUUUGUUAUGAAAUGGAAUGCUUGCGGCUUUCUUUUGUACCAGAAAUCGACCUUCAGCCCGGACCACAAGGUCAUAUGUGAGGAGAUGGUUGGUGCAGCAGCCUGCAAACUACUCCGAAUGGAGGUCAAUCCCACCCUGGCCCCCAACUCCUGCCCCAGCUGGUUAUGUAAAGAAGGAAAUUGGGUCAGUGUUAUGACCUAGUUUCGUUUUUGGAGGGAUUCAGGGGGUAGGGGGCUUAGAUUGGACAACCAACCCCUGGCAGUUGCAGUUUGGAUUAGUUUGAAAUUGUUGUUUUUUUUUUUUUUGGCACCUCCGAUAAUUACAAUUGGAUGGAAUCCGUAGCGGGUUUCGUGCCUCCGGUUAUUGAUUUUCAGAAAGGCCGUGCCGGGACAGUGGGUCUGUCGGUCUGCCGUCAGGUUUGCUUUGGAUAUAUAGUAUUCGUGUAUAGUAUAUAGCCAACCUAGAUAACUUUGGCAAGGCCCAAGAGUACAAGUAUCUAUCGGAUACACCAGCACCAGUACCAGCACCAGCCAUAGCCUGGCUGCAGUUUGCGAGCUUAGCCAAGGAGCCAAAAAUAAAAAUUCUCUUUGGCUUCGAGCCAAAAUGCAAUGCAAGGGAUGGAGUGUGGGGCAGGUUGCUAGUUGCUAGUUGCUAGUUGCCAGUUCCCAGUUGCAGGGUAAAAUGAAAAGUGAAAUGUUGCCAUGCCACAUGAGCAGAAAAUGAAAAAAAAAAAAAGAAAAAAGUGAAAAAGUCAUAAAGAGAAUUUAUCUAUAUUUAUUUGGCAGAAAGCUGACAUUUAUUAGUUUGCCCUGCAAAACCGAAAAGUCCUCUAUAAAUAUGGUUAAGAAAGGCACUUUGAUGAGAAAUUUAUGGCCGACUGCAUAACUCAUCCAUUAUCCACCUCUUCGGCACCUUUUGUGGUGCAAAUUCAAUGCACACUCGUCGUGUGUCAGUUGGCUGCCCCGCCACUAUGCCACUGCCACUUAUUACAUCACCCCAGAAGGCCCCAGCCCCCAGAACUACAUGACACGAUACGUGGCCGAUUCGAUAGACAUGGCCUGAGGCCUUUAACAAUUUGGGUCAACCAACCAACUGAGUCUUGACUUGCCAACAAAUCUUCAUGCCACCACCUCCUUUUCAAUGUCCUGCCAGUUUGGUGUUCUUCGGAAAAUAGUCUCAAAGUGUGUCGAAACUAUUAGAUAUUCUUCUACGAACUACGUAAGCAGAUGUAUAAUAGGUACUUGUUUUGGUUAGGCCUCCAGUUCUGAAUCUUUAUGAUGAUCUUCAUAAGGUAUCACGCUUUCAACGCCUGACUCUGUUCGGUUUGUUCUUUUUAAUUUUAGACAAAAUUGCCAUAAAAAACAGCAACAACUUAGACCACCAGAACUAGCAGAAAAAAGCGAAAAAAAAAACACUUUUAUGCCUCAACAUCGUUCGUCAUUAGUUAGCUGCGUCAAUUGUUGGGCCUCUGUUAUUUAUAAAUAACAGAGCCGCUGGGGCAGCCACGUAAAUGGUGACGGAAAGCGAAAUAGCCGGAGAGAGAGAUAAAUUUAUGGAAUUUCUUACUUCCAGCUAAUGAAUCUAAUCGCUGUUGCCAGGCCAGGCCAGCAGGCUAAUGAAAUUUCCCAGAAAAGCUGACGAAAAAAACCUCCCAAAAAUCUCAAAAUCAUUCAUAAAAUUCAACCAGCCAGUCAGUCCUGGUGCCUCUUUUUUUUUUUGUAUUUUUUGGAAGUGUCUGGGCUGUUGUUGUUCUCCGUCUAGAGAUAAAGAUUCAAAAUAUCAAGCAUUCCGCGUCUGUGAUUACGUAUACGCAGCGUUUGCCGAGCGUUCUUUAGGCUUGUUGCGUGUGCGCGCGUGCGUUUGCUCAUGUGUUGUUAGCACUGUUGUUGUUGUUGUGGUUGUGGCACUCUGCCCCUGUAUGGGUGUGUAUUUAGCAGAUAAUAGGUGCCACAGUCGGUGUGCGUGUUUGUGUGGCCGAUCAUGCGACCCAUCGAGUUGAAAAAAAAAGGGGAAGCCGACGUUCUCUUUUUGGGAGACGACGAGACUACCCAUUUUCGCAGUACUUUGACUUUGACAGUCACUUUUUAAAUGAAAAAAUACAUAUAUUUUGUAUAUGUAUAUUUUUCUUGGCCUGGCCAAAACAGUAAUUUAUUCAAGUAGAAUUAUGGCACCGCUGUUUUUGGGUUUUGCAACACUUCGGGUCACUUCCGGUGACGACAACUUCUUUGAAACUUGGCCUGCGCCGGCAGUGGCAGUAGCAGUGGCAGUGGCAGCUUUUAUGACCCAGAUAAAAGUAAAACGUGUUGGCCAACAACGCAAAGAAAGAGAGGGGGCAGGGGGCUGGAGGGCCCAUGAAGUGCUAAUGAAAAAUGCUCAGCAUUUGCCUAAUGAAAUUAUAACUGAACCACUAAGUGGGCCAUAAAGAGGAGCAAAGAGCUCAAAAAAGGGGGGGUCUCCGGUCGGGGCAAUCGGACAUAAGAUAGGGCCGACCGACUAGGGGGGAAGAAUAUUUUUUUCGGGGCGUUUUAGAAAUUUUGUUGUUUGUUAAACCGUCGAGCCGUCAGGUCGAGCAUGUAACCCAUUUAACCCACAUGGAAACAGAACCGAAACCCAUUUGACAGGCACAUGGAAACGCAUUUUGUUUCUUUAUUCAGUUAACGCUUUUUAAGCUCAUGAGCUAGCUUUUCAUUUUAUCGAUACACCUAAGUGAGCAAACACAACACUCCUACAAACACACAUACUCGUAUAUAGUGGGGUAUAAUCGUGCACACACAUUGCGACACAAAUGAACAAUAAUUUAUUUAAUUGCCGAGCUCUUGUUCUCUCGAAAUUAGAACACACACACACACACUGUACGCUGGCACGCGAUUUAAAAAAAAAAAAAUACAAAAUAGCAGAUUAAAUGGCUACUCAGUAUGAGCUUCUAGAGGCUGAAAACUUUUUAUUAGUUGUCAGAUAUUUUAGUCUAUAUGAAAUGGCCCCCUCCAGAUGACACAUCAAGCAUACGCAGUGUUGUCAGUCCAAAAAAAAAAACAAAAAAAUAGUUCCAGUCCAGAUUCCAUGCAUCUCUGUCUUUGUGUUUGCUUCGAUUUUUGUAUUUUUUGUUGGCAUUUGUUUGAGCCUAAUGCCUGCUCAAUGUUUUGGCCUCGUUUUGGAUUUAUUUUGUGCUUAUGCGCCGCACCUAGAGAGUCAUGCAAAAAGCAGCCAAGCAAGUCGAAAUUGAAGGCUGCAUUGGCCGAAACUGCGCCCCAGCAUUUAGCAGGAAUCUCUGCUCCAGAAAGCAUUGGGAACUGCUGGAUAAUUUUCUCUUUCCCACUAGUAUUAUUGGAUUAAAAUUCGACGAAUCUUAUCUUAUCUACCCCAAGUUGGAGAACCCAAAAAAGGCCACCUUGCUAGCAUUUCUAGCCAACUUACAUGGCGAAAUCGUAAAUGAAAUGAAAUCGCAGUUUGGUGACAUACAAAUGACUUGUAUAACCGAUCGCCGAUCAAUCAGGCAAUCGCUGAUCCGCAUCGACCCACUUUUUCAGUCUCCCCCCCGUCCGAGCAAUAUUUUCUUGCCCCGAAAUCGAUCCGCCGGCGCGCCUAAUGGCCGCUUAUCAUUAUCAGCGUCGCGGCGCACCUUGGCACCUGCGAUUGCUUAUCACCUCCAUUUUUUUUUGUUUUUUUUUAACAAAGUCGCUCCGGGUUCAGUUUCUGGUUCAUUGUACUCACCGCACUUUUGUUCUGCAUGUGUUUGAGAUUUAUUUGAAUUUUUUGGAUAUCCCUCACCCCACCCAGCUACCCACCUCGUUUUGGUUUCUUUUCUCAAAUCCAAUAAUAAUCGCAAGAUCAACGAAAGAAGUAAUUCAAACCCUACGCCGCGAUAAUUUCAGUUUUUUGUUUCAGUUUGAAAAUAAUAAUAAACGCUGAGAGAAAAAUGCAUCCUUUGAAGGUUUUGGGCUGCGUGUCAGGAGUGCAUUUGCACUGAAACAUUCUGAAGCUUGUAAAUGCACUAUCUGGUACGACAUUCCAGAACGUACAAUCUUCCCGAAUGCAAGAAAAUGCGAAUAAACAAACGAUAUACAUAUAUAUAUGCAAUUUUUGUGAUUGUGCAACAACUGACAUAAUUUCUCAAAAAACUGAUUAUUAAUUCAAUUAGACCUUUACGAGAUUAGUCCUAAGAAUACCAUAAUUGUAAGCCAAUGUUCCUCAAUAAAGAAUUUAUAAUAAAAUGCGAAUGUCUUCUAUGAAGAAAUAAAUAUGUUUUGUGGUUUUAUUUGACCCCCGGAAUGUUGCAUAGAAAGGGUGCACUCAGAACUAAAUAAAAAGUACGAGCUGCAAGACCUUGAGGCCGCGAAGUGAAGCUUCUGGCGACCUUGAACUCUGUGGCUCUAAUUAUUCAAGCAUGUAAUUGGCCACCCAGCCACAACGGCUUAAAUAUAUACAAUAAUUGGAGUGCUAUUACCUCAUUUUUUUAAUAUAUUAAUAUAAUUGGCUAUUAAAAUAAUGAAUACUGAAAAAUAGGAUGAGAGGGCUUACAUUCUGAUGGCCGAAAUAACUCAUAAAUUCUUUGUAACUGAAAAUAAAAUGUUUUUUUAUAAAAAAAAAAAAGCUAAUUGCAUAUUUUACAGCGCAGUGAUGGGGCAGAGUGCUUGUUGCCCCAACCACCCCCCAGCAGGCUGCCCCACAGAGCUUUCGUCGCAUGCACGCAACGUAGCAUAAAAAGCAGCAUAGAGGAAAAUCCCCAACAUCGUCCAAAAGGUGGCGCCCGCCUAGCCGAAAAAAAAAGCUCGCUUGGAGUUGCACCCAAACAUCCGCAAGAGGAUAAGGACCCAAAGUAACGAGCAAAAAAAAGCGAACAUCUAGCGAGUAACGAGACAUUGUGCUAAUUAACAAAAUGGCGGAAGACUUUAAACAUAAACUUGGAACCGGAAAAACAAUAUCUAUUUAACCCCAGAAACCUCCAAAACCCAAGAAUAUUUUCAGAUUUCAUACAACUAAUUAUAAAUUAAGUUAAGG